AUUAGAGUUACCUCCCAUUUGUUAUUUCUCGAUGUGGCAUUUUUAUUCUUACAUACUCAGUAACAUAGUAUUCUAAAGAUCUUUUAUAUUGAUUUAGAGACCAUGCAUAAUGAGAAUAAUAAGAUGUAGAUUAAACCGACUGAUCAAGACAUCCAUUUGUGCCACAUUACUUAUUUCAUUGGUCUUUGUUGUUAGUCUUGUAGUAUUAACAGUAAAGGAAAAUCAGUGUUCAAAUGAGGAGUCACUGCAUUUUAUAGAGGAACUUUGUGAGGCCUACAAAAGUCAUAAUGUUGAAGGCAGAUUAUGUGAAGCAAUCUGUCAGUCUAAAGAUAUCAUAUUCCAAAAGUGUGCAAAUUACAGAGGAGGGAAAGUAGUUCUGCUGGCACAAUGUAAUGGUAGAUGUGAGGAAGGCAAGAAUGUGAUGGCUGUAAUCAAAACCAGAAGAUGGGAGGGACAUCAUUUCGAACCGUUGAAUUUAGGUACACAUAGUAAUAAAAGUCUGACUGCAGAAAGUUUGAAAAUUGCAAAAACAUUAAUGAAUGAUCUUAUUUAUUCUACAACAAAAGUAAACAUUGGAGGCAUCCAAGACAUUUUUGAAAAAUUAUGGGAAAUGGAUUUCACCUCUUUUGUGAAGAGUGCCAGAUACCCUGGUGCUGACACUGUUGUUAUAGAAAGUUUAUGGAAACUAUUGAACCAAGAUGAAUACUUGUUUAUGUCUGUAAAUAAGGAUAGUCAUUUUAUUCCAAAGAUAUAUGGAACAUGUGGAGGAGUAUAUGUGACAGAGUAUGCUCCAUCAGGUGAAAAUCUCAAUUCAUCCCCAAGCAUUUUUACUGCUAAGAAAGGACUAUGGGUUGAACGUGCAGACAUAGCAUUGCAAAUUCUAGACAUCUGUCAGUCAUUAGACAUAGAUUUUCAUGAACCUUUACAUUUUUGUGAUGUGAAGGAAGAAAACUUUGGAUUAGAUUCUAAAAAGCAAGUAAAAAUACUUGAUACUGACUCUUUAUUUUAUGACACAUCAAUGAUGAAAGAUUUAGGAGAUCCAAAAUGUAAAACCCACCAAGAGUGUGAUUUCUUUGAUUGUCGAGGAUGGUGUGAUAUACAGAAAGGAAAAUGUGUUUCUAAGAGAACUAAUAAUAAUUUACAGAAUAUUUGUGAGGACAUUUUCAUCCCCAGAGCUCACAACUUUUACACAGGACUUCUGUUCUACCCUCCAGAUGAAAUUGCUGCUGAACUUAAACAACUUUUAGAAGAUUGUGCUUAUCCCAAUAAAAAUAAAGGAGAAAUUGUAAGGACUCCAACACCCACAGAAGUUUUCUGGAAAUUAGUAGCAUUAUUAAAAAGAAGUAAAAGUUUGACAAAACAAAAUAGAAAAUAUAGCUGAUAAGCAUCAACAAAAGCAAAACAUAGUUUCAGCUCUUUAUAUAUUGUGUAUAUAAUUUUCUCAAGGGACAAGAUGCAAAGAAAAGGACAGUGGGGCAACACACAUUGUAAUACAGAUUUGCUUGGCUAGAAAAUAUUGAUACAGCUCAAAAUAUCGUUUUUAAAAAUUGAAAAGUUGAUUAGAAUCUUACAUGAACCUUCCAUGUUAUAAAUUGAAAAGUUGAUUAGAAUCUUACAUGAACCUUCCAUGUUAUCUGCAGAGUUAAUGAUAUGUAUUGUAAAUUUCUUUGAUUAAAAGGGGUUUUGGGUGAACAAUGUUAACAAUAAUGAAAACUGUGCCGCAACCAAGCAUCACAAGUAUAGAAAAUAAUAAAAAUGUAGAGUUUAUCAUAUCAUAGACUUCAUAUAAUUUAAUUUCCAGUAAAGGUCAGAUUUAUAGAAACAUUUAGCAAGCAAACAGUGACUGGUAGAUUUUUUUUUAUGCCCCCGCCGUAGCUGUGGGGGCAUUAAGUUUUACCCUUGUCCGUCUGUACAUACCUAUGUACGUCCCAAAAUUGGUUUCCUUUCUCUAACUUGAGUUUGCCACAACCAAAUGUUAUGAAACUUAUACACAAUGCUUAUCACUACAAAACACAGAUCAAGUUUGAAUUUUGGUGGCGUCACUUUAACAGUUCUAGAGUUAUGCCCCUUUAUAAAUGGAAAAAUUGCAAAAUUUUUAGUUUCUGUUCUCUAACUUGAGUUUGCCUCAACCAAAUGUUAUGAAACUUAUACACAAUGUUUAUUACCACAAAACAAGGAUCAAGUUUGAAUUUUAGUGGCGUCACUUUAACCGUUCUAGAGUUAUGUCCCUUUAUAAAUGAAAAAAUUGCAAAAUUUUUAUUUUCUACUAAAUAUCAAGUAAUUUUUAAAAUUGGAGUUAUCUUCCUUUGUCCAUGACUAUAGUUGAAUCAACUACAAUCAAUGCUUUAUACAAUGCAAUGUUUAAUUUUGACUUCCACUGAUAAAACACAGAUCCAGUUGAAUUUGGGUAGUGUCACUUUAACCAUUAUUGAGUUAUGCCCCUUUAUAAAUCGAAAGAUUGCAAAAUUUUUAGUUUCCAUUCUGUAACUUAAGUUUGCCCAAACCAAACAUUAUGAAACCUAUACACAAUAUUCAUUACCACAAAACAAAUUUUUGUUUCCAUUUUCUAACUUUAGUUUGCCUCAACCAAAUGUUAUGAAACUUAUACACAAUGCUUAUUACUACAUAAUACAGAUUAAGUACGAAAUUUGGUGUGAACACUUUUACCAUUCUUGAGUUAUGUCCCUUUAUAAACAUAAAAAUUGCUGAAUUUUCGUUUCCGUUCUCUAACUUUAGUUUGUCUCAACCAAAUGUUAUAAAACUUAUACACAACCGUUCUAGAGUUAUGCGUGUUUACAAAUAGAAAAAUUCCUGAAUUUUUAGUUCUGUUCUCUACUUUAGUUAUCCUCAACCAAAUAUUAUGAGACUUACACACAAUGCUUAUUACCACAAAACUCAGAUCAAGUUCAAAUUUGGGUAGCGUCACUUUUACCGUUCUUCAGUUAUGUCCCUUUAUAACUAUAUGCUAUGCAAGCGGGGGCAUCAUCUGUAUCCACAUUUAUUUAAUAGAGCAAUAUACAUUUAACACACAAAUAUUUGUUUAUGUCUAGAAUAUAAUUUUGACAGGUAUUUCAGUUUAACCAUUAAUAUGUUUAAGGGAAAGGAAAAUUGUAAACUUUGAAAAAGCAAGACCACAGUUAAAAUGUGAGGUACAAUGUUCAUCAUAUGGUAAAUUUCAAUAAAAAAUAUUCUUGAUUAGUCGAAGAUAAAGUGACAGUAAAUAUCCUUUGUUGAUGUAAGUACAUCUGACGCAUGAUUUAUGUAUGAAAACAUAUCAAUUUAAGCAUUUUAAUUUGCAUUUGUAUAAUUUAUUUUGUAUUUUUUUGUGAGAGAAUUGUGCACAUAUCCCAUAAUUAUUUUUGUUGCCUUGAUACAUGUAGCACAUUCAUUUUUGUGUCCCCUUUCAAAUUUAAAUGAAUGGUUACUCAUACCAAUACCUUACUUGAGUUGAUUAUCAGAAUUAUUGGAUAAAGGAAUAGAGAAUUGUACAAGUAGGUCAUCUAUAUUUUUUAUAUGGAAUGAUUGGAAAGAGAUGCAUGUCUGUCUGGCCGCGUUUAUCUUAACAUCUCUUUCAUGGAUAAUUGAUAAUGUUUAUAAGUUUUUGUGUUACUUGUAGUAAAACCUUGAUUUUCAACAAUAUAUUCAAUCAUGAUCAGAAAAGCAGCUAGACAUCUCAGCGUGUGCACUCGUGUUUUUAUUUUACUGUUAUACAAAUGCAUGUAUAUUUGAUAAAUACAUACAUGUAAUUUUAAAAAAAAUUCUGAUGUUUAAGUCUUUGUAGUCUUCCAAGGGUUUUUAUAACAUUUAUAUACCGUAAAAUUAUUUUAUUGCAGUGUAAAAAUAUCAUUAUGAAAAGUACAUCAAUUAAUUUCACCUUUUUAAUUGAUAUUUAAAAAACCAAUCACAUUGUCAGAAUUAUCAUACAUGAUGGAGGUGUGCAAUAGUUGUAAAUCUCCAUAACUUUAACUUAUUCCAGGAAUUCCUGAAAUAUUUUAGGACAUCAAUAUUAAAAUUUUAGUUUCAGUCGAUCCAUAAAUCACAUUAUGGAUCUGUUCAAUUUUUCAGAAUCUUCAUAAAGAAGAAGUAUUUUUUAAGUUCCCAAUUCAUAAAUUUAGGAUAUCCUUGAUGUAUUUUGGGGUAUUGUAGUAUUUCACAAUAUCUGAACAUCAGGACAUCUUAAAAUAUUUGUAUUAUUAAGGAUCCCCAUAUAAGAUGCUCUACAAUGGUAAUACGGAUGUAGUUCUACAUUUAUUAAGCUCCUCAAAUAUUAUUAAUGGACUUCUAUAUUUUGAUUUUUAAAAAGACUUGCAUAAAUAUUUAGGGAUUUCACAAAGAUGAUUUGUUGUGUCACAAAAUUUCUAGGGACCUUUUUGAAAAAUGCAGUUUAGACUUAUCCUUUAUGGAUGUCCUGAAACAGAAUAAUUAGUGUCAUUUAAAAAUGAAAUAAUUGAAAUGUUUGAAUAUUUCACAAUGUCAAGAAUGCAAAUUGUGGAAGAGAAUUCAUUGAAGACCUCCUUAGUUACUAAAAUUGGGACCAAUAAACGUAUUUACGCUUUUGGUAUUUAGCUGGAAUUUGUCCAUGAAUGACCUUAGAUCUGCUCCGAAUAACCUUAUGAUGUCAAGCAACAAUCACUUUUAAAUUAUGACGUCAAAUGUUUUAAAUUGUGACAUCAAAUUUUAUGGGAACUUGUGUGAUUUUAAGUAAUGGCAUACAAAUUUGCAUACAAGUGUAAAUGUACGUCUAUUCUGCACCUCAUAAAGAGUUUUUUGCAUGUUUUAUAUUAGAUUUUACAGCAGGUUUUUAUACGACCGCAAACAAAUUUUUGUGGUCCUAUAUUGGUAUGACGUUGCCGUCGUCGUCGUCGUCGUCUGGCGUCGUCCGGCGUCGUCCGAAGACACAUUGGUUUUCGCACUCUAACUUCAGUUUAAGUGAAUGGAUCUCUAUGAAAUUUUACCACAAGGUUCAAUACCACAAAAGAAAGGUUGGGAUUGAUUUUGGGGGUUAUGGUACCAACAGUAAAGGAAUUAGGGGCCAAAAAGGGGCCAAAAAUAAGCAUUUUUGUAACUUCCAGACAUAACUUGUGUGUUAGUGUAUGGAUCUCUCUGACAUUGUACCACAAGGUUCCAUAUCACAAAAGGAAUGCUGGGAUUGAUUUUGGGGGUAAUUGCCUCAAAAUUUUAGGAAUUAGGGGCCAAAAAAGGGGCAAAAAACAAGCAUUUUUCUAGUUUCAUGACAAUAACUUGUGUGUAAGUGUAUGGAUCUUUCUGAAAUUGUACUACAAGGUUCCAUAUCACAAAGGGAAAGCUGGAAUUGAGUUUAUGGGUAAUUGCCGAAACGUUUAGGAAUUGGGGGCCAAAAAGGGGCCAAAAAUAAGCAUUUUUCUAGUUUCCAGACAAUAACUUGUGUUCAAGUGUAUGGAUCUCUUUGAAAUUGUACUGCAAGGUACCAUACCACAAAGGGAAGGCUGGGAAUGAUGAUGGGGGUAAUUGCCUCAAUAUUUAAGGAAUUAGGGGCCAAAAAGGGGCAAAAAACAAGCAUUUUUCUAGUUUCUAGACAAUAACUUGUGUUCAAGUGUAUGGAUCUCUCUGAAAUUGUACUGCAAGGUACCAUACCACAAAGGGAAGGCUGGGAUUGAUGAUGGGGGUAAUUGCUUCAAUAUUUUAGGUAUUAGGGGCCAAAAAGGGGCAAAAAACAAGCAUUUUUCUAGUUUCAGGACAAUAACUUGUGUGUAAGUGUAUGGAUCUUUCUGAAAUUGUACUACAAGUUUCCAUAUCACAAAGGGAAAGCUGGGUUUGAGUUUGGGGGUAAUUGCCCUAAAUGUUUAGGAAUUUGGGGCCAAAAAGGGGCCAAAAAACAAGCAUUUUUCUAGUUUCCAGACAAUAACUUGUGUUCAAGUGUAUGGAUCUCUCUGAAAUUGUACUGCAAGGUACCAUACCACAAAGGGAAGGCUGGGAUUGAGUUUGGGGUGAUGAAUCAUAAGGGGGGUUCAAAAAUUUUAGGGGAGGGAUUUUUUUUUUCUUUAAAAUUUUCCAUUUUAAAUUGGUUAUUUCUGAUUUAUAUAUAAAAGCAAAUAAUAAUGAUAUGGUUUGAAUAGGUAAAUUAAAAAUUUUAAAGUUCUUAGACCACAUUCAUUCUGUGUCAGAAACCUAUGCUGUGUCAAAUAUUUAAUCACAAUCCAAAUUCAGAGCUGUAUCAAGCUUGAAUGUUGUGUCCAUACUUGCCCCAACUGUUCAGGGUUCGACCUCUGUGGUCGUAUCAAGCUGCGCCCAGCGGAGCAUUUUAUUGACUGUUCAUUUCAAAAACUAUAGCCAUGUUAAAAGUAAAAAUUGCAAAAAUAAUCGUAACAUAAAAAAAAACUAUUAUCGUAUGAAUUUCUUGAUUAUUAUGAGUAAUAGGACCAUAUAAGGUAUAUGGGAUCCUUGCAUGAUCUUCAUGUUUGUCAGUUGGGCUUUGCAAGACCUGGGCCUCAUUUCACAAAUCCAUGAUGUAUAUUAAGUUCUCAUGCUCAAGUCUAUGAGGUGCCGAAUUAGUCAAAAUUAUAGUAUUUAUUGAGCUUGUGAAACAUUUCUGGCCUUCCAUAAUUCAAAUUCAUGAUAUCCGUAAAUCAUUGAGGACUUCCUGAAAUAUUUCAUGAUCUCUGUAACUCUAUUUAAGUAUAUCCUGAAAUAUUUCAGAACCUCCAUAAUUUGAUUUAGGAUAUCCUGAAAUAUUUUAGGAUCUCCACAAAUAAUUGUUAAGAAUUGCUUUAUUUCUGGAGGUCCUUAUUUAGUUCAGGAUAUCCUUAAUCCUUCACAGAUGAAGACGAAUAUGUUCCUAUUGUCGUAAUCACAAUCCCGUCCUCUUUUCUUCGAAUGUGAUCUACCGAAAUUAGAAUUGUCACCAGCUUUUUACUGACGUGAGCACCACAAUGGGUGCCACGUGUGAAGCAGGAUCUGCUUACCCUUUCGGAGUACCUGAGAUAGCCCCUGGGUUUGGUGGGGUUUGUGUCUUUAGUUUUUAUUGUUGUGUUUUGUAGACUGGUGUUUGUCUUUUGGUUUUUGCCGUGGCAUUGUCAAUUCGUUUUCAGCUUAUGAGAUUGUCUAUUCCUUUUUUAUCUUCCACCUCGCUUUUAAAUCGAUUUCAGAAUCCAUCUGGCAGGGUUCAUCUGACCUUGACCUCAUUUUUAGAGUUCAUUGGUUAGCAUUAAGUUUAGGCACUGGCUACGAUUACAUUUCAACAUUAAUUGCCGGAGUGGUUUGUUGGGUAAGGAACCGAUUAAUUACAAAAGUAACAAUAACAUUUGUUUCUACGGUUACGUUGUGUUAUUGUUACGUUAGAUUUAUUAAACUUUUUACCUACUAUAGUCAGAGACAUAUAAUACAAUACAACUUAGGUUCAAAAAGGGUCAACUAUAUAUAA